CGUCGUGAGACAGUUCGGUCCCUAUCCGGCGCGGGCGCAGGAUAUUUGAGAGGAGCUGGCCUUAGUACGAGAGGACCGGGCUGGACGAACCUCUGGUGCAUCGGUUGCACUGCCAAGUGCAUGGCCGAGUAGCCAAGUUUGGAAGGGAUAAACGCUGAAGGCAUCUAAGCGUGAAGCCCCCCUCAAGAUAAGAUAUCCCAUGAAGUCAAUUCAGUAAGGCCCCUUGAAGACGACAAGGUUGAUAGGUCAGGGGUGGAAGCAUGGCAACAUGUGGAGCUGACUGAUACUAAUAGGCCGAGGGCUUAAUCA
rnacentral:rRNA from 1 species